AAUUCUGGAAAAUUUUCCGAAAAAAAAUGUAUGAAGAAAAUAAAUUUUCAAAUACGAUUUUAAAAAGGAAAUAAAAACGAACAUGAUUUUAAAUGCUGUAUUGCCAGUAGAUGGCGUUGUGUGCAUCAACUUUUGACAGCUGCAUGCAUAUGCACAGUUGGCAACCCACGCAAGAUGCAAUGACAUAUGUGACUUGAGUUUAGUAACAUAAAUAUCGGCAUUUUCUUAAGCUUUUAUCGGCUUUCGUUAGUUAUUGUAAUUCAAUUUGAUUUAAUACAUUGUUUUGAAACGAUAUAUUAGCCGUGUUUUAUUGGUAAUUUUAUGUUCACGGCUAUUGUGAAAAUUGUAAGCGAAAAGUGAUUUCAUAGAGGUGGAAUAAUUUGAAAAUCAAUUCGAGUUCGCUGUUCAUUUCAUUCUGAUUGAUCAUAUUGGUGUGGAAUUCUAUUUUCAAACGUGUAAUUCAGAAAGCCACGAGCCAAAAGAUCUAAUCUUUCGCCUCGAACCCGAAAUGCAAAUAGAGUUCGGAAUAUUGCCUAUCAAUUGACGACAGAUGAACAAGAAAUCGCACGAGAACAGCGCCGUGUUAGUAUGGCCCGAUUUCGUACAUCACAAACACAAGAAGAAAGACAGGCGGAAAAUGAAACGGCUAAGUUAACAAUGAGAAAUCGUCGGGCAAAUGAAACAACUCAACAACGUGAUAAUCUAAAUCAACGCAUAAGAAGAAGUGCUUCAAGUGUUGAUUUGGAUCGAGUAGCGUUUCAUUACGAUUGCAGAAUUGAUUACAGCUCGCAUCCUUCCGUUAAAAUUCACCCAAUG